UCAUAGCUCAGUCGGUAGAGCAGAGGACUGAAAAUCCUCGUGUCGGUGGUUCAAUUCCACCUGA
rnacentral:tRNA from 1 species